CCACCUGGCCCCCCAGUAUUCUUCUUCUGGCCUGGUUAUAUCGCUGUCGUCUUUCCUGUAACGGCUUACGCUCGGACCAUCUCGCCUCAGGUAACACCGCUUGGUUUAUUUUAUAUAUUGCGUUAUGUAUAUAAUUAUCCUUAAUUUUAGGUAUGUCCUCUGUAUUGAGGAACUGAACUCUGAACUAUUGGUUGCUCGUUGAACGCGACUCCUCCAGUUGCAUCGUGCUCCUUCUCCCGUUUCCCGGACGACAUUUCGGACAUUUAGGGAGGAUUACUCCGGCAAACCCACACUUGUAGCAGAAUAUGUUCCGCACUUCUGACUCACACUCAAAAUAGGUGUGUCCUGGCUGCGCACAAUUCCAACACUUCAAUUGUGCCCUGUCACCUUCCGGAUCCUUCGUCCUAUAGACGGCCUCUAGUGCCUCUGUCCGCUCCUCCGGCUCGUGAUUUGCCGCCUCCACCUCAUGCACUUUGGGAUCUUCCCUGCGCCUAGCACCCCCAUUGUCUGGACCAAUCCUUGACCAUCGGGUCGCCAGCAGCUUCUCGGCCUCGGCACACUCUUCCCGCAGUUUCUGCAGGUUCGGAAUCUGCAUCGGGUAAAUCACCCUCGAGAUGGAGUCCCUGACAUUUAUCUUGAUGAUCUUAAUCAGCUCGUAGUCCGAAAAUGGAUUCACCAAUCUCGACUUCAACAACAGCAUCUCCUGGAUGUACUGGUCUGUCGACUCCCCGUGUCGCUGUCGUCGUUCUCUGAGCUCCUGCUCCCGCUCGAACUCCGUCUUCCGCACUUGAAACUGUUGUUGGAGUCCAUAUCUCAGACUAGGCCAGUUCGGCACUCCUGCGGUCCGUACAUACAUCCAGUACCAGUCUCUAGCAUGGCCCGUAACCAGAGUGUGGAAAGCUUUCAAUACUUCAGCCCAUGCUACUUGGUACACUGUCUGUAGAUGUUCCACUCGGAAUAUGAACUCCGAUACUGGCAUCCCCUUCGGAUCGCCGUCAAAGCUCAGUCCUCAUCUCCUUAUUUGCACCGGCUCCUGCCUGGCCUCUCCGUAACUGGGACGACUCCUAUUCACAUUUGUCUGUGCUCCCGGGCCCCUUACGUUGAACAGCCAGUCCUCAACGGGUCUCUGCUCCAUAUUCGGUCGCUGUUCGGCUUCCAACGUCCGGUUGUCCACGAACAAGUGUGUCGGUUGUGCCUGUUGGUUCGCGGGUAUCUCCUGCGGACCUCCUCCCAGACUGGUGUUGUGUGAUCCUCUAUUUCUUUUGUCCGCGUCGCUGAGUGUCUGCUCCGCUUUCAGCGAGCCGACUACCGCGUUUAUCCCCUUCAUGAACUCGAGCAUAUCCGCCUGGAUCGAGGCUCUGAGCGCUUCCAUCUGUUGGCCAAACGAUGCUCGAUACGUCUCCUGAGCC
rnacentral:lncRNA from 1 species